rnacentral:pre_miRNA from 1 species
UUGAUACUCCAUCCGUCCGGAAAUACUUGUCAUCAAAAUAAACAAAAGGGGGUGUAUCUAGAUGUAUUUUAGUUCUAGAUACAUUUCUUUUUGUCCAUUUUGAUGACAAGUAUUUACGGACGGAGGGAGUAUGUA